GGGUUCAUACCUCAAUGGUAGAGCAUUUAACUGCAAAUCAAAAGGUUACUAGUUCGAUUCUGGUUGGAUCCU